UGGCGGACGGGUGAGUAAUGUCUGGGAAACUGCCUGAUGGAGGGGGAUAACUACUGGAAACGGUAGCUAAUACCGCAUAACGUCGCAAGACCAAAGAGGGGGGCCUUCGGGCCUCUUGCCAUCGGAUGUGCCCAGAUGGGAUUAGCUAGUAGGUGGGGUAACGGCUCACCUAGGCGACGAUCCCUAGCUGGUCUGAGAGGAUGACCAGCCACACUGGAACUGAGACACGGUCCAG
rnacentral:rRNA from 1 species